UACGUAGGGUCCAAGCGUUAUCCGGAAUCACUGGGCGUAAAGCGUGCGUAGGUGGGUAUUUAAGUGUAAUGCGAAAUCCUGUGGCUCAACCAUAUGGACUGUAUUGCAUACUGGGUACCUAGAGGACAUGAGAGGCAAGUGGAAUUACUGGUGUAGCAGUGAAAUGCGUAGAUAUCAGUAGGAACACCAAUGGCGAAGGCAGCUUGCUGGCAUGUAUCUGACGCUAAGGCACGAAAGCGUGGGGAGCGAACAGG
rnacentral:rRNA from 1 species